rnacentral:rRNA from 1 species
GAUGAACGCUGGCGGCGUGCCUAACACAUGCAAGUCGAGCGGUAUAUACUUUAUCAAAUCUUCGGAAGAGAGACGGUAUAGAGAGCGGCGGACGGGUGAGUAACGCGUAGGCAACCUGCCCCAUACAGAGGGAUAGCCUCGGGAAACCGGGAUUAAAACCUCAUAACGCCAAGAGUUCACAUGGACUUUUGGCCAAAGAUUUAUCGGUAUGGGAUGGGCCUGCGUCUGAUUAGCUAGUUGGUGGGGUAACGGCCUACCAAGGCAACGAUCAGUAGCCGACCUGAGAGGGUAAUCGGCCACAUUGGAACUGAGACACGGUCCAAACUCCUACGGGUGGCAG